ACUGAACGGAGAGCUUCUGAACAUGGCUCAUCCUUGCAAAGACUACGAGAAGCGAGGAUCUCCAGGAACCUGCAAAAGAGUUCAAAAUCCAUGGAAAAGAGCUGCCAGUGCCUUAGACCUGCCCUCCUCACCACUUCACUCCUCUGUUACACGGACAGGACUGACAACUGCCAUUCUCACCCAGUGUCAGCCACUUCGCCCGGCCCUCUGUGGCCUUCCCUGAGUAUAGAGGAAAUGCUGACUGGAGCCAGGUGAUAAUGGAAGUAUACCCCACCUGGCUUCUUUCUUUCAGUGAGAGAACUUCCUGUCAUUGGGAUGACACGAGAACAUUUUACGCUUUGCUUUUUGUGAAAUUAGCAUACCCACUUAAUUCAGAUUGAUGAUCAUUUCAGAGAUGUGUAUUGCUAGGGUUCCAGACACAUGAGUGCAAUAACAAUAAUAAAUGGCAAACGUA
rnacentral:lncRNA from 1 species